AAUGUAACUUGAAGAUGCGGACCUUCAGGCCAUGCACUACGGAGAGGAUGGUCAUCAAAUCAUCAUAGGUAUUUGACGGCGUGGCCCUCCACAAGCUCGAACCUGAACCUGCACAGGAUGCCCAAGAGCCAUCUUCAUAUCCAGAAAAUGUUAUUAUCUCUUAUCCACUACUCUGGCUGAAGCUAGCGGUGUUCGGGGCCAAAUUCUACUACUCGAUCCGUCCCAUCUGAUUCAUGUCGGGCACAUAGAUGAAUGGGUGUUUGUACUAUUUGCUAUCCCAAUGAUGCAUGGUCAUUAGUUGUUCUUCAUGAUUGUUAUUCUUCAUGGGAGUACUCAUGCUGCUUUGUAGGGAGGUGCUUAUUAAAUGACUCCACACAAGCUUUGAAGCCCUGGAUUGGAACAAGGAACAUAAUUAGUUUUCUCUAUUAAGCAUUUGAUAUAGCUAUCAGGUGGUGCUAUUUCUAGUGAAUUUGUAAAAUUUGAUUGCUGGUGCCCUUUGCCAAUUGUCUUCAUGCUUCCUUCUCUAACUUAUGUAAUACCUACUUCGCUAUACUUCGUAGAACUUAUGUACUAAAAUGCAGAAGAAUGAUUUACAAUAUGAG